rnacentral:rRNA from 1 species
AUUGCCCUAGUAACGGCGAGUGAAGCGGCAAUAGCUCAAAUUUGAAAUCUGGCCCCUUUUAGGGGUCCGAGUUGUAAUUUGCAGAGGGUGCUUUGGCGUUGGUAGCGGUCUAAGUUCCUUGGAACAGGACAUCGCAGAGGGUGAGAAUCCCGUUUGUGGUCGCAUGCCUUCGCCGUGUAAAGCCCCUUCGACGAGUCGAGUUGUUUGGGAAUGCAGCUCUAAAUGGGAGGUAAAUUUCUUCUAAAGCUAAAUACUGGCCAGAGACCGAUAGCGCACAAGUAGAGUGAUCGAAAGAUGAAAAGCACUUUGGAAAGAGAGUCAAACAGCACGUGAAAUUGUUGAAAGGGAAGCGCUUGCAGCCAGACUUGCCCGUAGUUGCUCACCCAGGCUUUUGCCCGGGGCAUUCUUCUGCGGGCAGGCCAGCAUCAGUUUAGGCGGUCGGAUAAAGGUCUCUGUCAUGUAACUUCCUUCGGGUAGAACUUAUAGGGGAGACGAAAUGCGACCAGCCCGGACUGAGGACCGCGCUUCGGCUAGGAUGCUGGCGUAAUGGCUGUAAGCGGCCCGUCUUGAAACACGGACCAAGGAGUCUAACAUCUAUGCGAGUGUUUGGGUGCCAAGCCCGAGCGCGUAAUGAAAGUGAACGGAGGUGGGAACCCUUUGGGUCCACCAUCGACCGACCCUGAUGUCUUCGGAUGGAUUUGAGUAAGAGCAUAGCUGUUGGGACCCGAAAGAUGGUGAACUAUGCUUGAAUAGGGUGAAGCCAGAGGAAACUCUGGUGGAGGCUCGCAGCGGUUCUGACGUGCAAAUCGAUCGUCAAAUUUGGGCAUAGGGGCGAAAGACUAAUCGAUCUCCUGCCGAAG